rnacentral:lncRNA from 1 species
CCAGAUGUUCCCCUUCAUUGCACAGCAUGAGGAGGUGGAAAGGAGCCAAAAAACUGCGUUAAGAAAGAAAAAAACUCCCAAAAGCCAAUCCAACAAACAACCAAGGAUCAAGAGGAACAGGAUAGUUGACUUCUUUAACGUUCAUUUUCAACAGCCUAUUUCAGCUUCCUGCCUCUGCUGUGUUUCCACCUUUGGAUGGGCAGGAGUUGAACUGUGGCAUCUGGCAGAAGCCAGCUUUAACGUGGGAUUUAUCCUGAAUAAAAUACUUGCAGAAGGAAAAGAAACGUCAUUUGACUCAUUGAAGAUUUAAAACCAACAGAGUCAUGUGGGAGAAAAUGAAAUUUUAGUCUCAAGUGGCAGAAUCGAGUCAUAAGAAGUAAAGAGAUUUGGAUGGUUUCUCACUAAAUGGAAAUUAUAUAGACGGCUUCUAAGACCACUGCAUCUCUCCAUCCCGCUCCUGCUGCACAGAGACUGCACUCU